AACUAACAAGGAUUCCCCUAGUAACUGCGAGUGAAGCGGGAAAAGCUCAAAUUUAAAAUCUGGCGGUCUCUGGCCGUCCGAGUUGUAAUCUAGAGAAGCAUUAUCCGCGCUGGACCGUGUACAAGUGUCCUGGAAUGGAACAUCAUAGAGGGUGAGAAUCCCGUCUUUGACACGGACUACCAGGGCUUUGUGAUGUGCUCUCAAAGAGUCGAGUUGUUUGGGAAUGCAGCUCAAAAUGGGUGGUAAAUUCCAUCUAAAGCUAAAUAUUGGCGAGAGACCGAUAGCGAACAAGUACCGUGAGGGAAAGAUGAAAAGAACUUUGGAAAGAGAGUUAAACAGUACGUGAAAUUGCUGAAAGGGAAACGCUUGAAGUCAGUCGCGUUGUUCGAGGAUCCGCCUUGCUUUUGCUGGGCUUACUUCACGGAUAACGGGUCAGCAUCAAUUUUGGUCGUUGGAUAAAGGUCAGGGGAAAGUGGCAUCUUCGGAUGUGUUAUAGCCUUUGGCUGCAUACAACGAUUGGGAUUGAGGAACUCAGCGCGCCGCAAGGCCGGGGGUAACCCACGUUCGCGCUUAGGAUGCUGGCAUAAUGGCUUUAAUCGACCCGUCUUGAAACACGGACCAAGGAGUCUAACAUGCCUGCGAGUGUUUGGGUGGAAAACCCAUGCGCGUAAUGAAAGUGAAAGUUGAGAUCCCUGUCGUGGGGAGCAUUGACGCCCGGACCAGAACUUUUGGGACGGAUCCGCGGUAGAGCAUGUAUGUUGGGACCCGAAAGAUGGUGAACUAUGCCUGAAUAGGGUGAAGCCAGAGGAAACUCUGGUGGAGGCUCGUAGCGAUUCUGACGUGCAAAUCGAUCGUCAAAUUUGGGUAUAGGGGCGAAAGACUAAUCGAACC
rnacentral:rRNA from 1 species